GUGUAAUGGUGGGAACAACGCACCUGGCACGCUUCUCUUUUGGACAGUCUGGAUAUAGUUCUCAAUUUCUUUGCUGAUAGGAGAACCAGAAAUUCAGAGAAAAUGGGUGUCAGAUGGAAUAAAAGUUUAAACCGGAUUCUCUUCAUGUGGACAGAGAGGAGAACAAGACUUUCCCCCAGACAAGGAGGAACUGCGGAGGCAGAAUUUCUGUGGACGUGGGAACACUGAAAGAACGAGAAGGAGGCACAGUCUGAAGACAGUGGAAAACACAAGAAAUCAUAUUGCCACUCACAACAAACCAAAAUCAAACCACCAAAAUCAAACAAGCGCAAGAGCAAGAGCAAGAGCAAGAGCAAGAACAAGAAUAAGAACAAAAAAACCCCACAAAAACAAAAACAAAACAAAAACAAAAACAAAAACAACAAACAACAAACAAACAAAAACAAACAAACAAAAAAAAACAAACAAAAAAAAAAAAUAAAGAAACAAACAAUAAGCAGAUUUGGCUACCUAGGUGUGUUGUGGACUUAAAACCUCCAGAUAAAGCAUUUGGGGUCUGGUGAGAAGAACUUUCAAGAAGUGUUGGCACUGAGCAGUACUGUACCAAGUGGGUCCUCUGUGGUAAAUAUGAAAUCAGUGGGGUAGUUAUGUCUCAUGAGGCUGGUGGGAUUGACCAACUGUGAAAAAAGGAACUUUUGCUAUCCCACAACACCCACACAGUUCCUGAUCAGCACUGAACUUGAUAACACCUUCUGUAGAAUUCUGCUGUUUUCCCUGCCCCUUGCUGAUAACAGCAUGUACUCCACACCAGGCACUGAGCCCUGCAAACCCUAUGAAGAUGUGCUCUGCUCCAGGAAUUGUCUUACCAACCCUCCCCGUGCCUCACCGCUCCUUGGCAGCGAUUGUCCUUGUUGUGGAGUCCUGGUGUCUGUCCUGAAAAACUCAAGGAGAAACAGGAAGGAGCCCAGAUCUCCUGUUUUGCUGAAAGGGAGACUAUGUGGGAAGACUUAGAGAUGAUUGUGGUGUCUCUGUGGGGUGGAAAAGGGAGCUUGAAAUAAGAAAGGAGAAAAAAGAAAAAAUUCCCUUCAGUAAUUCUGGAGAUAACAGAAAGUACACACAAUUAUGGGAGCAGUUUGGAUUUGCCCAUCUAUCCUGUGCCCCCUGGCUUUCUCAUUCACCCAUAUAAAAUGCUGGCUGCCAAUGUGGCAGGGAAAGGUUGAUGUUCCUGGGGAUGAGAACAAAAUCUGCCCAGUGUACUUUGGUUGAUGUGAGCUAGUCAAGGGCUGUACAGCGGGCAGGAAAGAGGAAAAGGAUCCGGUGGGGCCUUCACAGCAGGGCUGGUGUCUCUGCAAGGUGCCAGGAAGGCUCCCCAGGGAGG